rnacentral:rRNA from 1 species
UACGUAGGGUGCAAGCGUUAAUCGGAAUUCCUGGGCGUAAAGCGUGCGCAGGCGGUUCGCUAAGACCGAUGUGAAAUCCCCGGGCUUAACCUGGGAACUGCAUUGGUGACUGGCGGGCUAGAGUAUGGCAGAGGGGGGUAGAAUUCCACGUGUAGCAGUGAAAUGCGUAGAGAUGUGGAGGAAUACCGAUGGCGAAGGCAGCCCCCUGGGCCAAUACUGACGCUCAUGCACGAAAGCGUGGGGAGCAAACAGG